AUCCAUGACUCCAUGGGGACUGCCGCCCAUGGCUGUCUCCCUUCCUAGGCAUGGAAGAGCAGUGCCUUGCGAAUUGGCAAAAAUUUUACCCUCUCGUAGGUAUUAGUCGUUGACUGUAGCAAGUAACAGGC
rnacentral:snoRNA from 1 species